rnacentral:rRNA from 1 species
CCUACGGGGGGCUGCAGUGGGGAAUAUUGGACAAUGGGCGAAAGCCUGAUCCAGCCAUGCCGCGUGUGUGAAGAAGGCCUUCGGGUUGUAAAGCACUUUCAGUGGGGAAGAAAGCCUUGGGGCUAAUACCCUCGAGGAAGGACAUCACCCACAGAAGAAGCACCGGCUAACUCCGUGCCAGCAGCCGCGGUAAUACGGAGGGUGCGAACGUUAAUCGGAAUUACUGGGCGUAAAGCGCGCGUAGGCGGUCUGAUAAGCCGGUUGUGAAAGCCCCGGGCUCAACCUGGGAACGGCAUCCGGAACUGUCAGGCUAGAGUGCAGGAGAGGAAGGUAGAAUUCCCGGUGUAGCGGUGAAAUGCGUAGAGAUCGGGAGGAAUACCAGUGGCGAAGGCGGCCUUCUGGACUGACACUGACGCUGAGGUGCGAAAGCGUGGGUAGCAAACAGGAUUAGAUACCCUUGUAGUC